CCAAUAGCGUAUAUUAAAGUUGUUGCAGUUAAAAAGCUCGUAGUUGAAUUUCGGGAUCAGAUUGUUGGUCGUGCCUCGGUACGUACUGGCAUUAUUGGUUCCUACCUUCUGAAGAACCGCGAUGUCAUUAAUUUGGUGUCGUGGGGAAUCAGGACUGUUACUUUGAAAAAAUUAGAGUGUUUAAAGCAGGCGCACGCUUGAAUACAUUAG
rnacentral:rRNA from 1 species